rnacentral:misc_RNA from 1 species
UUUCCGUAGGUGAACCUGCGGAAGGAUCAUUAUUGAAUAAACCUGAUGUGGCUGUUAGCUGGCUUUUCGAAGCAUGUGCUCGUCCGUCAUCUUUAUCUCUCCACCUGUGCACAUUUUGUAGUCUUGGAUACCUCUCGAGGCAACUCGGAUUUUAGGGUCGCUGUGCUGUACAAGUCGGCUUUCCUUUCAUUUCCAAGACUAUGUUUUUAUAUACACCAAAGUAUGUUUAAAGAAUGUCAUCAAUAGGAACUUGUUUCCUAUAUAGUUAUACAACUUUCAGCAACGGAUCUCUUGGCUCUC